AUCCGGUUAAGUACUUUGUAUAACGUUCGGUAUUGAGCGAUGCGAUGGCUGAGGUAAUGUAAGUUACUGUUGAUUCUGACAGGAGAGCAUCUGCAUCACUGCAGCGAGAAUUCAAGCCGAUGCUACCACAUCCCGUCAAACAGCGGUUACUGCGCGCAGUAAUCUGCGGCUGCCGCCCGUGCUGUUGGUGGAGAUCUUCCGGUCGCUGGACUCCAUCGGGCGAUGGCGCUGUCGACGCGUCUGUCCACUGUGGAACGCUCUUCUCACCACGGAUGCCUACUUCCCCGAGGUCCGCGUGACCGGCAAGGGCGCGAAUUAUGGGGUGAAAUUUCCCAAUCGGGAUAUGUACUGGGUGGCGGCGUGCCUGCUGAAAUGCCUCAGCAGCGCCACUAAGUUUGUGGUGGUGCACAAACUGCAGCUGUACGACGCUCGGCAACUCUCCGCACCGAUCAACCACAUCCUUAAACCGGGACGCCUGCCGGUGCUGGUGUUCGACGACUGCGACGUCGGCGGACGGACGGAUCGUAUCCAGGAGGUGAUCAGCCGAACGGCUGAUCUAGUCGUGCAGUGUGACUGCGACAGAGUGGUGUGGAAAAACUGCCGGCUCGCUAGAUGACAAUUUGACGGCGCUCGUGUCACAUCACUCACUCAACGUCCAGUCGCGUCAGCAGAUGGAGCAACAGCUGUGGGAUGUGUUCGAGAGGAAUCUAGUGCUGGAGAAGCCGCUGGAUCGUCAGCCCGUUGAGGAUUGGAUUGCGGAAUACAUUCCACGAAUGGUGAAUGGUCAGGGUGAUUCGGAAGGCGAUCAAAUGAUUUUGAAGGCGCUGAACCAGUACCAAGAGUGCCGAUCCUCGUGAUUCCACGCGCUGCCGCCACAGGGAGUGGACGGCCUCUAAUAUUGUCGAUGUGGAUGUCCGUCAGCUGAAUACACUGACGGUGGCGUUUGUAGAUAAACACCAUCAGCCGGUGAUUUUGAGCUAGCUGUUCAGCCAAUAGCCAGCUUGGCGAGUAAUUUUGUCUGUGCAACAGUUGCAAGCCGCCUGUAUGCUGCCGGUGUCAUAGUUAGCCGGACGUGCGAGUGUAUGCGACGACCUAGCAUCAGCGCACGUCUCCAGAAACCCAAGAAAUCUAAGACACAGUCACUUCCCGGAUACGCUGAUAGUCUCCCAUCGAUCGUCGUAGAUUACGCAAAUGUACGGACUGGUGGUGGACCACGAUCACAUCCGGGAUCAGCAUCCUAACGGGAUAGCUCCGAGAGGAGGCCUCUUUCCUUUUGCAGUUUGGGCAGUGAAUCCCAAAUCGGCUAUCCCGCUGCCAAGGAGGCCGCGUUCUACACUCAGCGCGGCCAUCCGCCGGGUGGUUGGUAUCCGUCCAGCCUGGUUUUCCGCAUCACGUAUACGACGCCGACACCGGCCUAGGGGCAUUUCACACGCUGGACAUCCAGCACAUCUUCGGCAAUCCGUCGCCCUUUGGCGUACAACUGAACCCGGCGAUGACCAACAGUAUGAGGCAGAUGCUGCGGCAAAUGGCUAACAACGGGCGGAUGGCGGGCGCGGACUUCAGCCAGGGCGGCCGCUACAUGGAGCUGAACCAGGCGGCGCAGUGGCAGUUCGGGACGCACAACAUGGUCGAGAUGAUCCGCUUCUGGGAUGAGGUGGCCAAUACGCCCUGUCUCGCCACCAACACCAGCCAACUCAACCGGUCGUCUGCAGCGUAGUGAAACAUCUUAACGCGAAAAGCACAAUGCGCUGUGUAUUGUCACAAUACAUAGAGAAUCCGUAUCCCAAACUUCUAAGAAGUUUUACGUAGUAUUGCAAGUUACAGUACUUUACUUGGACUUUGAGGAUGGUUAAUACGAGCUAAUAA